rnacentral:piRNA from 1 species
UUAGAUGCUGCUGGCUCUUUUAGAUGCUUUU